GAUGAAGAACGUAGCGAAAUGCGAUAAGUAAUGUGAAUUGCAGAAUUCAGUGAAUCAUCGAAUCUCUGAACGCACAUUGCGCCCGUCAGUAUUCUGGCGGGCAUGCCUGUUCGAGCGUCAUUACGCCCCUCAAGUCCCCUGUGGACUUGGUGUUGGGGAUCGGCGAGGCUGGUUUUCCAGCACAGCCGUCCCUUAAAUUAAUUGGCGGUCUCGCCGUGGCCCUCCUCUGCGCAGUAGUAAAACACUCGCAACAGGAGCCCGGCGCGGUCCACUGCCGUAAAACCCCCCAACUUUUUAUAGUUGACCUCGAAUCAGGUAGGACUACCCGCUGAACUUAAGCAUAUCAAUAAGCGGAGA
rnacentral:misc_RNA from 1 species